rnacentral:misc_RNA from 1 species
GGUCAUUAAUCAAAAAACCAAUUAAGAAAGUAGACUACCGAAUCUCUAUCUCUUCCUCAUCUUGGAAUGUUUUUACCCUUUUUAUUUGUACCCCCCAAGUGGGUACACAAGAAGCAUUGGUUAAAGUACAAAACAAGGUUGUAGUGUCUAUGCAAUUUAGGCCUAGUCUAGGAAGAACAAAAUUUUAUACUGAUGCACUUACCAAAAGGGUGCAUCUCUUUUGGUUGCAACAACAGCAAAAAUCAUGGCAGACAUCAAUUGAGGAAAACCUAUUACCACAAAUGAGGCCUCCCUUUCUAGCAAAAAUUACAUAUUACUAAUAAUAAGAACUAUGGGCACACUCUUAAAUUGAAUAAAAUGCUUAAACCAUUUGCUCAAUCAGGUUGGUCAAACGUCAAAUAACUUCUAGUAAUAGCCCACAGGCUAAAACUGAUUGACACAAAUACUAUCCACCGAACUCAAAUAUCAAAUUAUCA